UUAUCGGAGAGUUUGAUCCUGGCUCAGGACGAACGCUGGCGGCGUGCCUAAUACAUGCAAGUCGAGCGGACAGAUGGGAGCUUGCUCCCUGAUGUUAGCGGCGGAC
rnacentral:rRNA from 1 species